rnacentral:rRNA from 1 species
GAGCUCGUAGGCGGUCUGUCGCGUCUGCUGUGAAAUCCCGAGGCUCAACCUCCGGCCUGCAGUGGGUACGGGCAGACUAGAGUGCGGUAGGGGAGAUUGGAAUUCCUGGUGUAGCGGUGGAAUGCGCAGAUAUCAGGAGGAACACCGAUGGCGAAGGCAGAUCUCUGGGCCGUAACUGACGCUGAGGAGCGAAAGGGUGGGGAGCAAACAGGCUUAGAUACCCUGGUAGUCCACCCCGUAAACGUUGGGAACUAGUUGUGGGGUCCAUUCCACGGAUUCCGUGACGCAGCUAACGCAUUAAGUUCCCCGCCUGGGGAGUACGGCCGCAAGGCUAAAACUCAAAGGAAUUGACGGGGACCCGCACAAGCGGCGGAGCAUGCGGAUUAAUUCGAUGCAACGCGAAGAACCUUACCAAGGGUUGACAUAUACGAGAACGGGCUAGAAAUGGUCAACUCUUUGGACACUCGUAAACAGGUGGUGCAUGGUUGUCGUCAGCUCGUGUCGUGAGAUGUUGGGUUAAGUCCCGCAACGAGCGCAACCCUCGUUCUAUGUUGCCAGCACGUAAUGGUGGGAACUCAUGGGAUACUGCCGGGGUCAACUCGGAGGAAGGUGGGGAUGACGUCAAAUCAUCAUGCCCCUUAUGUCUUGGGCUUCACGCAUGCUACAAUGGCCGGUACAAAGGGCUGCAAUACCGCGAGGUGGAGCGAAUCCCAAAAAGCCGGUCCCAGUUCGGAUUGAGGUCUGCAACUCGACCUCAUGAAGUCGGAGUCGCUAGUAAUCGCAGAUCAGCAACGCUGCGGUGAAUACGUUCCCGGGUCUUGUACACACCGCCCGUCAAGUCAUGAAAGUCGGUAACACCUGAAGCCGGUGGCCUAACCCUUGUGGAGGGAGCCGUCGAAGGUGGGAUCGGUAAUUAGGACGAAGUCGUA